GAUGAACGCUGGCGGCGUGCCUAAUACAUGCAAGUCGAGCGAACGGACGAGAAGCUUGCUUUUCUGAUGUUAGCGGCGGACGGGUGAGUAACACGUGGAUAACCUACCUAUAAGACUGGGAUAACUUCGGGAAACCGGAGCUAAUACCGGAUAAUAUUUUGAACCGCAUGGUUCAAAAGUGAAAGACGGUCUUGCUGUCACUUAUAGAUGGAUCCGCGCUGCAUUAGCUAGUUGGUAAGGUAACGGCUUACCAAGGCAACGAUGCAUAGCCGACCUGAGAGGGUGAUCGGCCACACUGGAACUGAGACACGGUCCAGACUCCUACGGGAGGCAGCAGUAGGGAAUCUUCCGCAAUGGGCGAAAGCCUGACGGAGCAACGCCGCGUGAGUGAUGAAGGUCUUCGGAUCGUAAAACUCUGUUAUUAGGGAAGAACAUAUGUGUAAGUAACUGUGCACAUCUUGACGGUACCUAAUCAGAAAGCCACGGCUAACUACGUGCCAGCAGCCGCGGUAAUACGUAGGUGGCAAGCGUUAUCCGGAAUUAUUGGGCGUAAAGCGCGCGUAGGCGGUUUUUUAAGUCUGAUGUGAAAGCCCACGGCUCAACCGUGGAGGGUCAUUGGAAACUGGAAAACUUGAGUGCAGAAGAGGAAAGUGGAAUUCCAUGUGUAGCGGUGAAAUGCGCAGAGAUGUGGAGGAACACCAGUGGCGAAGACGACUUUCUGGUCUGUAACUGACGCUGAUGUGCGAAAGCGUGGGGAUCAAACAGGAUUAGAUACCCUGGUAGUCCACGCCGUAAACGAUGAGUGCUAAGUGUUAGGGGGUUUCCGCCCCUUAGUGCUGCAGCUAACGCAUUAAGCACUCCGCCUGGGGAGUACGACCGCAAGGUUGAAACUCAAAGGAAUUGACGGGGGCCCGCACAAGCGGUGGAGCAUGUGGUUUAAUUCGAAGCAACGCGAAGAACCUUACCAAAUCUUGACAUCCUUUGACAACUCUAGAGAUAGAGCCUUCCCCUUCGGGGGACAAAGUGACAGGUGGUGCAUGGUUGUCGUCAGCUCGUGUCGUGAGAUGUUGGGUUAAGUCCCGCAACGAGCGCAACCCUUAAGCUUAGUUGCCAUCAUUAAGUUGGGCACUCUAAGUUGACUGCCGGUGACAAACCGGAGGAAGGUGGGGAUGACGUCAAAUCAUCAUGCCCCUUAUGAUUUGGGCUACACACGUGCUACAAUGGACAAUACAAAGGGCAGCGAAACCGCGAGGUCAAGCAAAUCCCAUAAAGUUGUUCUCAGUUCGGAUUGUAGUCUGCAACUCGACUACAUGAAGCUGGAAUCGCUAGUAAUCGUAGAUCAGCAUGCUACGGUGAAUACGUUCCCGGGUCU
rnacentral:rRNA from 1 species